ensembl:lncRNA
GUUUUUGAUGAACAGGAACUUUUUAACUAUUUGUGCUACACAUUAAAUAAAAAAAUCAAUCAAUUUAAAUUAACAUUUUAAAUGGUUAUCAAACUUUAAUUUACACAGGCCAAUAAAAACAACAGUGGAUGAAAGGGAACUUGUCUUUGAAUAGCCUACAUAUAUAGAUACAAAAAAAAAUCACUCAUCAGUCUUAGCUUGUACAUACAGUACAGAUUUCUGAAACAAAAUGUCAUCUUGGCACUUUAUAUAAUUAAUCUGCUUUCAGUAAGUUACUUCCCAAGAAGGUCAAAUUAAGACGCAUAAGCAAUAAUACAUUUGCUCUAUUAAAUGCUAUUUGAAGAUACAACAGAUAUAUCAAGUGGGAAAAAGGACAGGGACAUGAAACUGUACACAGAGUUGUUCACAGAUGUUUACUGAAUAUUUAAGUAUAACUGGCCAAAAAAAAAAAAAAGGUUGUUGCAUGCUGUAAUAUUUUGUAAAUGCAGUGCCUUUUGUGCAUUUAUCGUGGCACGGUUUCAAAAAUCUUAUGCAACAUCACAAAAUGUAUUUCCUUUAAAAGUUGCAUUAAUUUUUGGCAAAGAUCUUGUAUUGACAAUGGGAGAGUUAAACCACUCUGUAAAAUCGACUACAGCACAUCCAAAGAUUUUCAGUGGAGCUCAGGACUCUGUGGUGGCCAAUUCAUGUGUGAAAAUGAUUCCUCAUGUUCCCUGAACCAUAUUUUACAGUUUGAGCGAUUGAAUCCUGGCAUCAUCAUCCUAAAAUAUGACCAUGAAAUACAUCUUCCAACUUGGUUGUUUAAGAAAUAAAACGCUGCACAUUGCAUCAUUUAGGGUUAAAAUAAUUGUUGUGAACCACAUGCUAGAAACAUUAUUCAAUGCAAUAUUGAUCCAGUCAUGAAAUCUUAAGCAUUUGCUUAUUUAAAUCCAAAUGGAAACUUUUUUCUUUUGGCCAGGCAGUGUAUUCUUAAAGUCUCUUUAAAAGACCUGCCACUCGAAGAUUGUCACAUCCUGAAGAUCCAUGCUACAUCUUGUUUACAGUCUUCUCCAUAUUCUGUGGCUUCACUCUGAGAAAAGAUAAAGCAGCUUUUGCCAUAAUAUAUCAAAGAUUGCAACAGAGAAAAGAUGAAAGGUUAAAUCUGGAAGAGAAAAG